rnacentral:rRNA from 1 species
GGGAUGGAGUCUGCGGGCCGAUUAGGUUGUGUUGGGGUAACGGCCCAACAAAGCCCUGUAAUCGGGUACGGGUUGUGGGAGCAAGAGCCCGGAGAUGGAUUCUGAGACACGAAUCCAGGCCCUACGGGGGCGCAGCAGGCGCGAAAACUUUACAAUGCGAGAAAUCGUGAUAAGGGAACUCCGAGUGCCCGUAAAAUCGGGCUGUCCAUCUGUUUAAAUCACAGGUGAAGAAAGGGCCGGGCAAGACCGGUGCCAGCCGCCGCGGUAAUACCGGCGGCUCGAGUGGUGGCCACUAUUACUGGGCUUAAAGCGACCGUAGCUGGUCUGUUAAGUCUCUGGGGAAAUCUUCCGGCUUAACCGGAAGGCGUCUCAGGGAUACUGGCAGACUAGGGACCGGGAGAGGUGAGAGGUACUCCAGGGGUAGGAGUGAAAUCCUGUAAUCCUUGGGGGACCACCUGUGGCGAAGGCGUCUCACCAGAACGGCUCCGACAGUGAGGGACGAAAGCUGGGGGAGCAAACCGGAUUAGAUACCCGGGUAGUCCCAGCUGUAAACGAUGCGCGUUAG